AUUGAACGCUGGCGGCAAGCCUAAUACAUGCAAGUCGAGCGAGCGGCGGACGGGAGAGUAAUGUCUGGGAAACUGCCUGAUGUAGGGGGAUAACUACUGGAAACGGUAGUUAAUACCGCAUACCAUCGGAUGUAACCAGAUGGGAUUGGCCAGUAGGUGGGGUAAAGGCUCACCUAGGCAACGAUCCAUAGCUGGUCUGAGAGGAUGACCAGCCACAAUGGAACUGAGACACGGUCCAGACUCCUACGGGAGUCAGCAGUGGGGAAUAUUGCACAAGGGGCGAAAGCCUGAUGCAGCCAUGCCGCGUGUAUGAAGAAGGCCUUAGGGUCGUAAAGUUCUUUCAGCAGGGAAGCGGUACCCACAGAAGAAGCACCGGCUAACUCCGUGCCAGCAGCCGCGGUAAUAC
rnacentral:rRNA from 1 species